GGGCGUUCCACAGGGCAUGCACCACUACCGAGAAAUGCUCAAGAGUGAUUUACGUAAAACGGGUGGGGAAUGUUGGAUCCCGUCAGCCCCAGCCGGUGUAGUCACUGGCCAGAAAUGUUGGGAACUGUAGUCCAGGAAGAUCUGCAGGGUGACAGGUCCUCCCACCGUAAAAGGUAAAUGUCUGGCCCAAUAGCUUCAUGGGUGAGUUGGGAUUUGAACUCGCUUCUCUCCAGUCCUGAUUACUACACCCUGCUGAGUCCCUUGAGCAGAACAGUUUUAUGCCAGCCAUGAGAGGAAGGAGGCGUGGCUGGCAGAAGGAAGGAAGGUGUUUCAUGGCACCAGGAUUCUGAACUGUCUUCCUCCUGCCAACAGAUAACCCACAGAGCCCUCUUCCCUGGGGACUCGGAAAUCGACCAGCUCUUCCGCAUCUUCCGCACCCUCGGCACGCCGGACGAGACUGUUUGGCCAGGUGUCACCUCUAUGCCCGACUACAAAUCCAGCUUUCCCAAGUGGGCCCGACAGGACUUCAGUAAAGUAGUGCCGCCUCUGGAUGAGGAGGGCAGGAAACUCCUAGCGCAAAUGCUGCAUUACGACCCCAACAAGAGGAUCUCGGCCAAGACUGCGCUCAACCACCCCUUCUUCCGGGAUGUCACAAAAGCCGUGCCACACCUCCGCCUGUGAGAGGAGAGUGGAGCCAGCAAACCUGCCCUCUGGCAAACUCAGCAGCCCGUCCCGUCUUGGAUUGCCCCAGGUGCCUGCACUUAGAAAAGACUUUUCUCAACUUCACCCUGAAUGGAAAACUGGAAGUCCAGCCCACACCUUUGGGGUUGUUUUAUAUUUACUCCUGGGUUUAUUUUAAAGUACUAGCUGAGUGAAGGGUGCCUCCAGACUGACUUUCCAUGAGAAGAGAGGCAGAAGCCCCCAGAGCCAGCCGCCGCAGGAAGUCUAAUUGCUCAGGAGGCGACAGUGUCAUUCCUUUUUUUAAAAAACCCCAGGAUUUCUGUCUCUCUUCCCUUGGUAACUUUUACAAAGCGUCUUCUGUACUGUCGUGACUCGCUCAAUUCCAGCUUCCUCUGCAAAGGUCAGCUGUGCAUUUGCUUGAGCGGUCCUUGCUUCCAGCAGCCAGAGAUGGCGUCUUUCUGAUUUGGAUCAUGGGUAUUGGUUGGUGCUUGCAUGAUAAAGUCCUCCUGGUGCCGGCAGAGGUGCUCACCAUUUCCUUUCAGAUGGGAUCCUCAAUGAGGACUAUGCACUUAACUAUCCACUUUUCACAAGCAGGAAGAUUUCCUUUUGUUAAGGAGCUGGGCAAUGCCUGCAAUAUGCGAACCUGAUAUUCCUCAUUGCACCAGCGAUAGCAGUCAAAAGUCUGGUAGCCUUUUCCUGAUGGACCGUGGUUUGUGAUGCUUGCUGGUUGAAGCCCACAAGAAGCCCUUGGAAAAAGAAGUUGGACUGUCAAAGCUCAUAAGAACAGCUUGCUAACCAGCCAUAUGACCACUGUAUGUUCAUUGGGGGCAAUGGGCAUUACCCUAUCCACUUUACAAUAUCUUACCGUCUUGUCUCCUGUACAUGCCUUUCUGGUCUGUGGCACUGAGUCACAGGCCUUUCCAUCUGUGUGGGUGGGUGGCCGAUUUAAUGACAGAAGGUGGGAAACUUUCAGUUCAUUGCUCUUUGGGCUCAAACUUAUUUUUGGUAAACUAGCAAAGCCCUCAGCUGGAAUGGAUCUGCCAAGUAGCUUUGUCUUCAAGCAGUGUGUUGUGUGAAAAUAGAUUGAUAACAAAAAUUGUGUGCGAGUGCUUGUUAAUUUUUUGAAGUUCAGGUGUGAGAAUAUUAAAGGGAUAAAAUUGCAGUUAUUUCUCCUCUCCCCUCUUGUAUUUUAGCCAAAAUAGUGCAACUCCUACCUUCAGUUAGGGAAUUAUUAUUUGUGAACUGCACUGUUCCAAGCUGCAAAUGUCAACACUGCUAUCUUUGUGCUACUAUGCCUUGAAGGCACUCAGACCUCUCAGGUUAUUUCAGUGAAAUGCAAAGAAUAGGUGUGAUUUUAGGUGCAGACAAACAUUUAAUCUAUGGGCGGAAAUCUAAACUUUCAGUCCUGAUUAGUUUCUUAUAAAUUACAUGUGAUGAACUAGAAUUCUAAUCUUUUAGAACUAGUGUAAUUGGUAGAGAUCACUCAGUCACCUGGAUUGAGCUGAUUAUAAAAGCUUGUCUGCAGAAAGCAAGAUUCACUAUGAAACCCAAAAGGCAGCCUGCUCAGUGCACCGGUGCUGCAAUAACUUGAAUCAUCUAAACAAAGUCUCUUUGCCUUCUCUAUAGCAAACUUUAAAGGUGUUUUUCUAGUUGUUUCGGCAAAUCCCACUUACCAAUGAAUAGUGUGAUGGAUCCAAAAUGUGAGACUUCUGUAAAGCAAGGGAUCAUUUCUUAUUUCUGUAAGGUUUUCAUUUCCUUUUUUGUAAAUUAAGAGGUAUGUUGGAGCGAUAUACACAUUUUCUACAAGAAAAUGUGUUCUGUGAAGUAACAUUACCUAUUCUUCAAAUUCAGUGAAUAUUGAAGGAGAGGAGCUACCCCUUCAUCAUAAGCCAUAAUCUAGUCUUCAUUCAUGGAUGAAGUGUCUGGUGUUUUGGGUCUAGAUGAAGGCUUACUUUUAACUAUUCUUAGAUAUAUUCUCUCUAUGAACAACCGUAUUCUGUAUAAAGACAACAUGCUAACCUGGCAGACGUGAAUGGGUCUUCAUUGAGAAAGUGUGGCAUUUUGGUUCCAUUAGGCUGAAAAUAUGCUAGCUCUGGAUAACUUUAAGAUGCUAGCAAUACACCAUCCAGAAAAUGUCAAGGUAGAAAGGGUUUUGUUCCCCUCGCCGUAGCACUAUGCAUAUGCAAUAUUUAGAAGUGAGACUUUUUUCUUCUAUCUUCCACCUCCCCUUCAUCUUUCGGACUAGAAGAUGUUUAUAUAUUUAUAAGGCUGUUGUUGUUUUUAAAAAAAGAGUUCUGGUUUUGUAUAGAACUUGUUAGUCUAAGCACCUUGUAAUUAAACUUUUUUAAGGAAAAAACUAUUUUUGUCCUUUCCUUGGUAGCUCUUUGCAAGACAGAUGUUUCUAAAAUAUUGUGGAACUAGUACAUUUAACUCAUUAAAAUAUCUGUAAUUUUUAUACAUG